rnacentral:rRNA from 1 species
UGGCGACGGGUGAGUAACGCGUGGGUAACCUGCCUCAUACAGGGGGAUAACAGUUAGAAAUGACUGCUAAUACCGCAUAAGACCACAGCACCGCAUGGUGCAGGGGUAAAAACUCCGGUGGUAUGAGAUGGACCCGCGUCUGAUUAGGUAGUUGGUGGGGUAACGGCCUACCAAGCCGACGAUCAGUAGCCGACCUGAGAGGGUGACCGGCCACAUUGGGACUGAGACACGGCCCAA